CACCAUGAACAUUAGCAAAAAAUACACCAAAACAAAAUCUUUAUUAAUCAAAACAAUAAGCCCAUAAAGGUAAGAUCUUGAAUUCAAUUGACUUAAUACUCAGGAUGAUCAACUAAUUCAGAGAAAUCAAAAUUCAAGAUUCUAAAUAAUUGCAUUCCCGUUGAACCACCAAAAUAAUAAUAAUAAUAAUAAUGAUGAUGAUGAUAAUGAAAUCUGAAACAAAGCCAUGUCCAGUUGAGAAGUGAGGCUUAAGUGCAAAACCCAAAAUCAAGAACUCAAGAAAAAAUAAAAAUAGAUGCCCAAUAAUUUUUAGGGAAAAUAACGAAAAGAAAAGGUAGCUCACGGGGAUCUUGUGAAGAGGGACCUGAGACUUGAAGUAGAUGUAAUCACCGGGCGCCGAAAAGACGCCUUUCAUUGCUGAUUUUGACACUGUCUACACCAUAAUAAACAGAAACAGAUGUCUAUGUAUAACUUCUUGGCAGUAAUUGUUGUAGCAAUUUUCAGAAUGUUGAAAUUUUAAUUUCGAUGACCUGUUUAAAAAAUUUAAGAAUGUGUAUUUGAGCUGUGAUUAAUGAGAUUUGACGAGGUGGAGAAUGAAGAGGAACAACGCGGAUGGUGGGACCUAAUCAUGUUUAUAUCAGUCA
rnacentral:lncRNA from 1 species